AGCGCGCUCAUUUACCGGCAAUGAAAUUUUCUUGGCCAAACUAAUUAAAAUUCUCGCACAAUGUAAAAUUUUGCGCUUUGUGUACACCAUAUAAAUUAUGGUGCCAUUAAACAUCAAUUUGAAAAAGCUAGAGUUAACGAUUGUUCGAGUGAGCUAAAACAUACCUUGACGACGUCUUCGCCGCCGUGUAAUUCGCCCAGCGAGGGCCUUUUGGCCGCUCUUCGGGAAUUCCUGUAGUUCUCCAACCUCGGGAGCGCCUCGCGUGUGAGUUGCACGAGCGAUUUUUUGCGUUUUUGGAUCGGAUAAUUUGCUGUCGGUUUCAAAUCACUGAUAGUGUCCUCUUUCACCCCGUUCUCGUGUAACUGGAAAGCACCAUUGUCUAUACCGGCACUGGGCUGAAGAGUGAAGCGGCCAUCCAUGGUGCGACACUUUCAAUGAUACGGUUCGAAAUGAAUGGAAAUUUCGAGUGCGAGCGAGGAUUUUUAUCUAGGCAUUGAGGGCUACUUGACUACCUCGAGCCGACUUUCAGCGUUUCAGAGGAUAAACUGCAAUGUUUGAGCAGGAGCUUUCUUUAAGUACUCCUGCCGAUUGAUGGACAACGCGCAGAUUCAUACAUGUCGAAUGCGAAAAUUACUAAAUAUACUUAAGACUGUAAAUACUA